GUGAAUCAUCGAAUCUUUGAACGCACAUUGCACUCCUUGGUAUUCCGAGGAGUAUGCCUGUUUCAGUAUCAUGAGCACUCUCACACCUAACCUUUGGGUUUAUGGCGUGGAAUUGGAAUGCGCCGACUGUCAUGGUUGGCCCUUCUAAAAUGUAGUUCUUGGCUGUCACCUAAUACAGCAGUUUGGCCUAAUAGUUUUGGCAUUCAUUGUCAAAUCUUUGGCUAACAUUUGCUCCAGGAGUCAGUCUUGAUAAUACAGAAAACUCAUUCAAAUUUUGAUCUGAAAUCAGGUAGGGCUACCCGCUGAACUUAAGCAUAUCAAUAAGCGGAGGAA
rnacentral:misc_RNA from 1 species